GCGAAGCGAGGCGCUAAAAUAUAAAAAUAUAUAAUAUAAUUAAUAAAUAUAAAUAUUUAAAAUUUUAAAUAAAAAUAUACUAUUAAAUUAAGAAAAUCUAAGAUACAAAAUCACAAUGUCACAUUAACAAAAAGUUUCAAAAUUCAAAACAAUAAAAUUUUACAUCAAAGUCAUUCAUCAUAAUCAAUAUUAUCGUCAUUUUCACACAAAUCAUUUUCAUUGAAUUCGUCUUCUUCCUCUUGUCCUUCGAUUCCUUCCUCUUCAUCAAGAUAUGUUUCAUUCUCUAUGUCUUCAACAAUAGCAGGAGUCGAGCUUGAUGCUUUUGCACUCAUUUUUCUCUUUAACAUCUGUCUUGUAUAUGUUUGUAAUUCUCCAGCACCUGAAGCUCUUGCCACAUCGCCCCAUGUCAAUCUAUCAUCUUCAAAUACAAGCUCGUCUUCAGCAUCUUGCAAGUUAGCACCCAUUUCUCAUACUAACCACUCAUUUGAAUCAUCAAUAUCUUGCAAUGAGAUUGAAUCAAAUUUAUUUUUCAAAUCAUGACGAGUCUUCAAAGCUUGAUUAUACUUUAUGUAAACAAGAUCGUGCAAUCGUUGAUGUUCUAACCGAUUUCUUCUCUUCGAGUGAAUCUGUCAUUUCAUAUAAUUUAAAAAUAUAUUAAUAUAUAUAUCUAAAUAAAUAAAUUAAUUAAAAUAAAAAAUAUUUAGUAAUACUUACAUGCUCAAAGACACUCCAGUUUCGCUCACAACCCGAAGCACUAAAUGUUAAACUAAGUACUUUGAUAGCAAAUUUCUGUAAGUUCGGGGUGGAAUUUCCAAAUAGACUCCACCAUUCAGCUGCAAAAUUUAUGUUAUUAUUAGCAAUAACAUAGUAACAUAAUAUAUAUAAAAUUAAUUAUAUCAAAUUAUUAAUACCUGGAGAGGUAGUUGUUCUGGAUCGAACGACAAUUGGAAUUCCAAAAAGACCUUCAGCAUUUUUAUAUAAAGAUAAUUCAUGAAUAAUCUUAUCUUGAACCUCAAGGCUGGGAACUAAUCUUGCAACGCACUGAUAUAACCUACCCAAAACUUCUGCAUUAAAUCCAACAGAUUUAAUCUUAUAAAAGAAUUCAGGGUUCAAAUAAUAUCCUGCUGCAUGUAAGGGACGAUGAAGUUGACAAUUUCAUCUUUCGUCAAUGAUUGUAAAAAUUUUCUCAUAUUUUUCUUCAUUUUCAUUAAAAGAUCUUUUAAUCGUCUCCUUUGCUCUAUCCAUAGCCUCAUAAAUAUAUCCCAUUGCAGGCUUAUUUUCAUUAUCUACCAACCGAAGGACUCGAACAAGAGGGCCCAUUACCUUUAAUAUAUAAACUACAUGAUUCCAAAAGGAUGACAUUAAGAUGAUAUCAGCAGCCCUCUUGCCUUUUGCUUCUUUUGCCCAUUUGCUUGUCACCUAUUUCUCAGAGGUAAACAUAUUUCUCAGAGUAUGUUUUUGACGAUGCACGCUCUGUAAUGUCAAGAAUGAAGUAGCAAAUCGGGUAACACCAUGUCUCACUAAUUCUUUAUUACCUGUAAAUUCUCUCAUCAUAUUCAAAGCCCCAAUGUGAUUAUAAAGAAAUCCAACAACAAAAAUUGCCCUUUCUAAGGUUUUCUUGAUUUCUAAGAUCUUUCCAAUAUCCUCCAACAUUAAAUCAAUACAAUGUGCUGCACAUGGAGUUCAAUACAAGUGUUGUC
rnacentral:lncRNA from 1 species